AAUUAUACAAUGGCAAGAGAAUAUCUUUGAUAAUUUGUACUAAUAGUUAUCAAUGCAAAAUGCUUUGCUUUCACCUCACACAUUGUAUGCAAUAUUAUACCAUUUCGAUUGCAUUUACAAAAGAAUCAAUCAAUUGAUUUGUGAGUGCGUGGUGCGUGGGUUCACUUUGGCCUGAUUUCAGAUGCUAUUUAAUUGCAAAAUAUGUAAAUUACUCUCACUCGGCGUCGCCCUUUCUCUUCUCGCACUUUGUGAUUGCAUUUUGCUGUUGGAAUUUAAUUUAAUUUAAUUUAAAAUGCUUUACCCAAUCCUUUUGUUGUCCCCUCCACGCAAGUGCAAAUUUUUGGCAUAGCACAUCGCACACUCGAACACCCACUCACCCACACACACAUACCACAGUAGUGGACACACACAGUGACACGACACAGGUAGCACUUUGACUCACACAGAUAGUUUAAAUAAAAAAAAGAAAGCACAGACACACUGACGUAGUGGGAAAGUUGUGGAUGCCUGCAAAUUUGGCAAUUCAUUCAGUUCUCCAUUCGCAUUUCUUGGCUUAAAUCGGUUUUAUAAUAAAUGGAACUAGCCGUUUUAAAGUUUCAAGUUGAGAAUUUUGUUGGGAAUAUAAAAAGGAUUAUUUCCUUCUGAUGUAUUUUAAACUCCCUAACAUAUCUGUGAAGCAUAUGUUACACAUUGACUUACUAAUGUUUUUUAUAGUUACUUAUAAAUCAAUCAAACUGAGCAUUUUGCAUCCAUCACCAGUUAAUAAACAUUUGUUUUUCAGCACAUACAUAUACCGCUUUUCACCGCUCAGUAAUAACAUCUGUUUAAUUACGUCCAACAUUGCAUUGAUGUCAUUUCUGCCACCACCACUGGAACUAAGCUGGAAAGGCGUCUGGGGAAAUGAAAAUGGGAAAGUGAGGGCGCCGAGCAUCGACAAUGCAGGUUCACAAGCUAGCAAGUGAAUUAGUAAACUGUGCUGUGCUGGGAAACUCCUGCCAUUUUCCACCCACUUUACCGCCACCGCCCAUGUGUGCAAAGAACAUUCAUAUUUAAACGCAGGCGAAAAUGAUUUGAAUGAUGCUCAGGAGAGUGACGAAGGCUUUUUUUUUUCAGUUUUGCUGGCGGCGGCAAAUGCAACUCACGGAAAGCAUUCAAAAGCAAUUAAGCGCUUUCUUCACAGCCCAGAGAGCGCGACAGAGACGGCCUUAGAUGGUGGGAAAGAGAAGGGCGCACACAUGAGUUGAAAAUGUAAUAUCAUCAAUCAAAAAAAAAAAAAAAAAAAGAAGGAACACAAAAAUACAGAGACAGCAGAAAAAUUAAGCAGGGAGAGUGAGUGCCAAAGAAAAGCCAUGCCCAAGCUUAAAACUGGAAAUUCUCUUUUACACCGAAAGAGUUAAUGAUCUGGGAAAUAUGUCCGAUGAAAGCUGAUUUGGAAGAUGCAGCACGAAGCCAGCUCACGAAACGGCGGCAACAACAAAUUUAGCUUGAUUAUGCCAACCACCGACAACAACAACAAGAAGAAACAGCAAACAACCACAACGAAUUUUUUUUAUCAUCGCAUAUAUUGAAAAAUGCUUCAAACUAAAAGCCAAGCGCUGUAAUCAUAUUUAACUUUGCCUCGGUUAUGUGCCUCAUCUUCUGCAGCCGCAGCCUCAUCUCUCCUUCACCUGAUUUUGGUUGAUGCUGCUGCUGCUUCUGCUGCUGCUGCUGCUGCUGUUGCCAAACCUCAGAGGCAACCGCAACAGGUAAUUGAUGCCGCUUGCGCGUUGCAAGAACUUUAAUCAAUUUUUCAGAUAUUUUUCUUUCGUUUCGUUGCCUUUUUUCGAGUUGCUCGUCUACCUUUCUACGUGAUGAUGUUGUAUGUAUGCAUGUGUGUGUGUGUUGCAAGUGGCCAUAACAACCGAAAACGGCAACCGAAAUGGCCAACACAAACUGCCCCCCGUGGAAAGGGGUAAAAUGGAGGGGGGGGAGGGGAGGAGUGAGAGGCGGAAGCAAGGGGGGAAGAUCGCAGUGAACCCAAAUGACUGGGAAUUUGGCCAGGUAAGCCAGGUAGGUAAGUGCAGCCCAGAGCGGCCAGUGGCCAAGUGGCAAGUGGCUAUCACGGCAUGGCUAUAUAGCCGCCGAUACACACGUAUUUACAGUAUGUAUGUAUUGGUAUACAGCUCUGGGUGAAGGCAGCAACAAAUUUCAGCAAAUUACUAUGAGGUAACCAAAGAAGCAAGGUUUCCCAGAUCAGAUAUCCCAACACGAACGUAUAAAUCUUCUGAAGAAGGGUUCUAAGUACAGGUAAGACGUAAUAAGACUUUAAUACGUGGACUUAAAUGAAGCUUUGUUCUAGCAACAGUGUUUUUAGACAUAUUAUCUUGAAAUGAUAAGAUUAUAAGAGUUCAUAUAGUCAGCUAAGCCUAAUUUAAAUAGUGUUACCAUUUAAAUUUAAACUUUAAGUUCUUGGAAUUUGGAAAGCAUUACGAAUCUAUGAAUGCCAUAUCAUUUUCUACACGGCGCUUUUAUCGCUUUUCUAUGCCAAUAAAGUGUGUAUUGCAUAUGCAUUGGUUACUCUUUGAUUGCCACCGAAUGUCGACUAUACUAUAUACUAUAUAUCCGAUUUCAACGAUGGGUGGUGGGUGGGUUGGUGAUUGGCGGAAUUGUGAAGUACUUGGAGUACUCAUAUAGACCCAGCGACAAGUUGCAGUCAUUUACUUAACUUUCACAAUUUCGAUUUACACAUCUACAUGACUCCUCUUUAUUCUCCCCGCACAAUCAUAUAGAUAUAGGUAUAUAUAUAUAUAUGUAUGCAUAGAGAGAGAGGGAGCCUAUCCCCUUUGCCCUACGCCUCUGCGGUCGGCUGUCUACUCAAUCACAGCGUAAAGCACUUCUGAGUCAUAAAAACCAAGCCAGACUGCGAUUGUGCAGUUGGCAAUUUUAUGCAGCGCCACUUGGAGCACUCCGGAUCUCCGGAUUCGAGAUGCCAGCAGGGCAGGGUGGAGUGGUGCUGCAAAGUUAGGGGUUUCGGGGUUUACCAUGGAGUGAAGCGAUAAAAAUGACACAUGGAGCUCCACUCCAUUCUGUUCCAAAGGCAAAUGGCAAAUGGCAAAUAGCCGCGAGAGAAAGAGAGAGAUAGCCCUGUGGCAAGUGACACUUCGUGGGGGCAGAGACAUGGCCAAAAGGAGCCAAGCCGAUCGAGUUUGUCUCGCGAAGUAAGAGUUAUAUCCUUAAUUCACUGCGGACAUCACCUCCUCGAAUGACAAAGACUUCAAUUACUUUAUAUAGAAUAACAAGCAAAUCUUUCGUUUCUAUUCAUAUAAGUUAUUAGAAACUGCAAAAUAUAUGCGUUUUCAAGGUUUUCAAAUAUAUAUUUUAAACACCAGAAGUACUUUCCUUUUUAUUUAUUUUUUGUUUUUGAAGAAUGUCAAACAUGUUUUCGAAAGCAAUUACAACAUGCAAUUAAAAAUCGCCUGCGCUGAAACAAAAAACCGUUUCGUUUUGGCCUGCAGACAAUCGGGAUUGCAUAACCGGGAAACAUAUUUCUGGUCUCGUUUUGACUUAUUUUUUUAUAUGUAUACAUAUAUACGUACAUUUGUGUGUAUUUAUAUAUCUUUUGUUUUAUACAGUGUCCGAAAAACGAGAGCGACAAGUUGACACAAUCGUGGACAACUUUUUUCGUACACAAGCCAAUCAACUGUGGCACAGCAGAAAGCUCAAAAAAAGAGGAAAUAAUUAUGGAAAAACAAUUUUUAAUUUGCAAUUGCACUCGCAACAGCAGCAGCGCAGUAACAACCGAAAAACUUAACAAGCCAACCUUGGCGUUUAUGCCCUUUAAUGGGGAUUUUUAUACGUAUUUUUAUACCGCUUUUUGUGCGCCUCACCUUGAGAUAACUUUACGUGGAGUUGGAGUUGGAAUUGGAAUUGGAGUUGGAGUUGUAGUUGGAUGUGGAGGUGGAGCCAAUGGGCGAAACUCUGAGCUCACAAUGCAGCCCUUUGAUCGUGAACAGGCGCAACCUUGGAAUGAAAUCGGUGGGAUCUCUCUCUAUAAGGUAAGUGAGUAAUAUGAAAUAAAAAACCACUGGCCGAAUGAAAAAACCUCAAUUGCAUGGCUGUAGUCCAAAGCCCUUUAAACAAACAACUUCAUUAAUCAAUAAAAA
rnacentral:sRNA from 1 species